rnacentral:rRNA from 1 species
UGCGUAGGGGGCAAGCGUUAUCCGGAUUUAUUGGGCGUAAAGAGCUCGUAGGCGGCCGUUCGCGUCGGAUGUGAAAGCUCAGGCUCAACUCUGAGACGCCAUUCGAUACGGGACGGCUAGAGGUAGGUAGGGGAAAGUGGAAUUCCUGGUGUAGCGGUGAAAUGCGCAGAUAUCAGGAGGAACACCGGUGGCGAAGGCGGCAUCCUGGACCGGCAUUGACGCUGAGGAGCGAAAGCCAGGGGAGCAAACGGG